UCACACCUUCUCUCUCAUCUGCCUGCCACAUCUACAUCUGUCAAAAUAGCCCCAGCAGACCACAUCCUCUUGUGCCACGGCCUCCACGCUGGGCAGGGGGCACCCCGGGGAUGUGGGGACAUUGUCACCAACCCCCCUGCCUCACUGGGGCAGAGCAAUGGACCCCCUAGCCUGUGUCUCCCUCUCUGCUUGCUGUGGGUCUCAGUGGUUAGAGCAAGGAGGUCUGGGAGACAGGACUCCUGGGUUCUCUCCCCAACUCUGGUCUCUCCCAGUCCCAGGACGGGGGACUGACUGGCUCAGGGGGUGGGGAAUGGGCACAGGGCCUGUCCUCUCUAGGGGGUGCUGGCUCCCAUCCGGCCCCAGGGCAGGGACUGGCUGGCUCAGGGGGUGGGGA